GACGAACGCUGGCGGCGUGCUUAACACAUGCAAGUCGAACGGAAAGACCCUGCUUUUGUGGGGUGCUCGAGUGGCGAACGGGUGAGUAACACGUGAGUAUACUGCCCUUGUCUUUGGGAUAACUUUAGGGAACUCGGGCUAAUACCCGAUAGGAGCUCCUGCUGCAUGGUGGUGGUUGGAGAGUUUCGGCGGUUGGGGAUGGACUCGCGGCGUCUCGGCUUGUUGGUAUGGUAGUGGCUUACCAAGGCUUUGAUGGCUAGCCGGCAUGGCUGGGUGACCGGCCGCCCUGGGAGGGAGACAGGGUCCAGGGUCCUAGGGGAGGCAGCAGAAGGGCAUCGGGCGCAAUGGGCGGAAAACUGUCGGAGCAGCGCCGAGUGCUUGAUGAAGGACUCCGGGUCGGGAAACUCUGUUAUUGGGGAAGAACAUGUGUGUACGUGACUGUACGCAUCUUGACGGUAAAUGAUCAAAAAGCCACGGCUAACUACGUG
rnacentral:rRNA from 1 species